rnacentral:rRNA from 1 species
CUGCAACUGUUUAUUAAAAACACAGCACUGUGCAAACACGAAAGUGGACGUAUACGGUGUGACGCCUGCCCGGUGCCGGAAGGUUAAUUGAUGGGGUUAUCCCUCGGGAGAAGCUCUUGAUCGAAGCCCCGGUAAACGGCGGCCGUAACUAUAACGGUCCUAAGGUAGCGAAAUUCCUUGUCGGGUAAGUUCCGACCUGCACGAAUGGCGUAAUGAUGGCCAGGCUGUCUCCACCCGAGACUCAGUGAAAUUGAACUCGCUGUGAAGAUGCAGUGUACCCGCGGCAAGACGGAAAGACCCCGUGAACCUUUACUAUAGCUUGACACUGAACACUGGUCCUUGAUGUGUAGGAUAGGUGGGAGGCUUUGAAGUGUGGACGCCAGUCUGCAUGGAGCCGCCCUUGAAAUACCACCCUUUAAUGGCUGGUGUUCUAACGUGGGCCCGUAAUCCGGGUUGCGGACAGUGUCUGGUGGGUAGUUUGACUGGGGCGGUCUCCUCCUAAAGAGUAACGGAGGAGCACGAAGGUCAGCUAAUCCUGGUCGGACAUCAGGAGGUUAGUGCAAUGGCAUAAGCUGGCUUGACUGCGAGCGUGACGGCGCGAGCAGGUGCGAAAGCAGGUCAUAGUGAUCCGGUGGUUCUGAAUGGAAGGGCCAUCGCUCAACGGAUAAAAGGUACUCCGGGGAUAACAGGCUGAUACCGCCCAAGAGUUCAUAUCGACGGCGGUGUUUGGCACCUCGAUGUCGGCUCAUCACAUCCUGGGGCUGAAGUAGGUCCCAAGGGUAUGGCUGUUCGCCAUUUAAAGUGGUACGCGAGCUGGGUUUAGAACGUCGUGAGACAGUUCGGUCCCUAUCUGCCGUGGGCGCUGGAGAACUGAGGGGGGCUGCUCCUAGUACGAGAGGACCGGAGUGGACGCAUCACUGGUGUUCGGGUUGUCAUGCCAAUGGCACUGCCCGGUAGCUAAAUGCGGAAGAGAUAAGUGCUGAAAGCAUCUAAGCACGAAACUUGCCCCGAGAUGAGUUCUCCCUGACCCUUUAAGGGUCCUGAAGGAACGUUGAAGACGACGACGUUGAUAGGCCGGGUGUGUAAGCGCAGCGAUGCGUUGAGCUAACCGGUACUAAUGAACCGUGAGGCUUAACCUU